AUACGUAGGUGGCAGGCGUUGUCCGGAUUUACUGGGUGUAAAGGGCGUGUAGGCGGAGAUGCAAGUCAGGAGUGAAAUCUAGGGGCUCAACCCCUAAACUGCUUUUGAAACUGUAUCCCUUGAGUAUCGGAGAGGCAGGCGGAAUUCCUAGUGGAGCGGUAGAAUGCGGAGAUAUUAGGAGGAACACCAGUGGCGAAGGCGGCCUGCUGGACGACAACUGACUCUGAGGCGCGAAAGCGUGGGGAGCAAACAGGAUUAGAUACCCUGGUAGUCCACUCUGUAAACGAUGAAUACUAGGUGUGGGGGGACUGACCCCCUCCGUGCCGCAGUUAACACAAUAAGGAUUCCGCCUGGGGAGUACGAUCGCAAGAUUGAAACUCAAAGGAAUUGACUGGU
rnacentral:rRNA from 1 species